UUAAAAGCGAUGAAGGGAAGAGUAGAUAUAGGAAGUAAUUACAGCGAGCUGGUGGUGGUGUGAGACCAGUAUGAAGCCUUUAUUGAAGAACAUCCCUUAGCUCCCAACCGAAAUCUUUUGAGAGUAGACUUGGGCGGAAAUCUCAACCGUUAAAACGAGAACAGUUUCGAGCAAUGCUCCGAACUGAGAGUGGUUUUUACAAUUUGGGUGGUACCGCGGAAGUAGCCUUUCGUCCCAUUA
rnacentral:ncRNA from 1 species